UCCCCAGCGGUCCAGUGGUUAGGACUCUGCACUUUCACUGCCAAGGGCCCGGGUUCAAUCCCUGGUGGGGAA
rnacentral:tRNA from 1 species